CCCUUUGCAAACAAAAUUCCAACGCUCUAGUAACUUUACUUGUAAUAUCGAUACAUUUAUUCAUUUAUUGAUUAGACUGGUAUUCAUUUUUCCUUUCUUCCACCCCUCUACAUAUAAAUAAAUCUCAUUUACACAAUUACCUAACAUUUACCUUUCGUUCAAUUUCCAUUCAAUUCCAGUCUGUGAAAGGACGUCAUUGGCUAUUUUUAUUUCUCUCCUCCUACUAUUCUCUGCCCUUCUUUCCAUUAGGUAUUUGUCUUUAUCCAGUCUUCUUACUCUUCAUUUUCUACAAUCUACUUAUCCGUAUAAUCUAAUGAUUAAAGUCUAAUGUUACGGGAUAUAGGAACAUGGCGAAUUCGUUAUUGCUUUUCGACGAACUGGAAUGCGGAUUAUGCUUUGAUAGACUUUUCGAAAAUGAUCCUAGAAGUUUACCUUGUAAUCAUAAAUUCUGCUUUGUUUGCCUUAUUGGAUUGAAAAGUGAUAAAGAUGAUCGUUCGAAUACGUUCACUUGUCCCCGAUGUAAUAAACAACACGUUUGGCCUCUCAACGGUCCGAAUGGCUUUCCAACUUGCUUGAAUUCCGAUACUUCAGAUUCCGCUUCCAAAAGAUCCGUUUCAAAUGCGUCCUCUAGAGCUCAAUCACAAACCACACUGAGAAGGUCUGAAGACAGAGUGAAUCAUUGGCUAACACUCAAUCUACCUUCGAGCAGACGCGAUAAAGAAUCGCUGGAUACCACUUCGACCGUCUACCUAAAUUCCAACAAAGAAUCGUCCACCGUACUCAGUCCGCGUGCAAUCAGCAUACACGGAGUCCUCUGUGGAAAGUUAAUAGAUGGAAUGCUAAAUCAUAAUAUUAACGAAUGCAAGAAAGACGACAGUCGACAAUUACCCAAAAUAUCUUUGACAAACAAACAAGUGAAUUUCCUUAAUCAUUGCAACGUCGCCUACGAAAACGUCAGAAAGGAAAUAAGAAGAAAUAAAGAAAGAUUAACGGACGAUAUAAGUAAAAAAUUACAUAUGUGUAUAACAGAAGUCGAAAGUCUAGUUACAAAAUUGUGGGAUGGCACUAUUAAUAGAAGACAAGCGAGGCAAAAGUUGAGUCUGCUGGAGAGGAAACAUUUCGUGCUAAUUCCUCUCCGAAACGUCGAAAUAGCUAGAUUUAAAAGAAACGAUUCGGAAAAUUCAAUAUUCGACAGUUUUAUUAUGGCAAAGGAAAGGAAUGAAAACAGCUUUGAAGAAAAUGUCAAACUUUAUAAGGCGAUUGUUAAGGGAAACUUUGAAAAGUUUCUUUCUGAAAUUGAACAAAACUUUAAAGAUCUCAUUAAACAAUUGGAAUUGAAUAAGAGGAAAUUGGAUAAUGAAAUCAUUCAAAAGAUAAUGAAUGGAGGUCAGAAUAAUUUUGAAUAUCAAUUCGUACCGAUAUUAGAUUUACAAAUUGGGCGUUUUAAAAGAGUGACAAUACUUGAAAGUCGUAGAAAUUUUAUGCAAAGUUUGAGCGAAACAAUGUCAAGAUGUUGACAACUCGUUCAUCUUUUUCUCUUCUAUCCUUUUAUAUCAACUUUGUAUCAUAAUCUAGUCAGAUAUUUUUUUAUAAUUAAUCUUUAAUAAAUAUAAAUAAAUACUGUUGUUUACUACUGUUUGUAGUAUGCGUUGACAAG
rnacentral:misc_RNA from 1 species